GCUGUGAAAGAGCUCAUGAACCUUGUCUUGGUUGGAGAGUGAGCAGAAGAAGUGUUUCCUGAACUUUGAUGAGACCAAGAGGUCUCUCUGCUCACAGGAACAAUGGAUGGUUCUCUCCUGUGCCUCUCAGGAAAUACAUUUUCUCUAGGCAAAUCUGGGCUGCCUGGUGUAUGGUGCAACACCUGGAGACACUUGGCCAGGCCUUAGAGGAGCCUCCCUGCAGCUGUGCCCAGCCUGCCCAGCCCUGCUGAUUUGCAUGUGCCCAUAGCACAGCCCACUGCCCUGAGAACUUCUGAAGAGGCUUCUCACACCCUGUGCAGGAGACAGUCCCUAUCAGGACACAGCAUGGCCAUGAGGGCUCCUGCUCAGCUCCUUGGGCUCCUGCUGCUCUGCCUCACAGGUGCCAAAUGUGACAUUAUAAUGACCCAGUCUCCAGCCUCCCUGUCUAAAUCUCAAGGAGAAA